UGUAUUAGAACAAAAGUUAUCUAUAAUUCAGUUAUUACAGAGCAUGUCACAUGAGAUCACAUGUUAAAGUUGAACUGCCCCAGUUAGUUGACUUACAAGUCUAAUUUUCGGGAGCCAAUGGCUCUGUCCUGCCCGUUCAGAACUGCCAGCCCCAGAUGGGAAUUCUGCCCUAUGUUUCUGAAGGGCAAAGAUUUGCGACACGCAGUUCAGACUGAUGCCAUUCCACUGCACUUUACACUUUACACGUGCACAGUCGCAGCACAGCAGUGACCCAGGGAAAAAGGUGUCCCUGCCGCUGCCCCGGGAAGGGCAGGAUGCCGCUGGGGACACAAAUGAGGGCACAGCUGGGGCACAUCUGGGGGCACAGCUGGGGCCACAUCUGUUCUGCCCUCCCGGCGUGCCCGGGCCCCGCUCUGCCGCUGCGCUGUGGCAGCCCGUCCCGUCCUUUCCCGAUCAUUCCAAGGUUUCCCGCUGGAGCGCAGCGCCCGGCACGGCCGGGCAGGGACACCCGCGGGGGGAACGCACCGCGCCAGGGCCGCGAAAGGAGCGGGGCAAGGUGGUGCCCCCGAGGGGCAGGGUGCGCUGGGGUCUCCGGGCCAGGCCCUCAGGCAGCGGCCAGCUCCCAGGCGGUGGCUCGGGGCAGGACGCUCCUGAGGGGAGCAAACCCUCCGAGCGCCCGGGCGUCGGAGCAGGCGGCCCGCGCCCACCGCAGCGCCGUGCCCCCGGAGCCCCGGCCGCCCCAGCGCCGCGGGAGGUGCCGGGGCCGGGCCGCUGCCCUCAGGGCGGCUCCUGCCUCCUUCCCUCCCUGCCUCCCUCGCUUCCUGCCGGCCGGGAUUGGCUAUGCUGCCGGCGGGCGGGCGGGACGCGCGGCGCCCCGACGGAGCGGGGAGCGCGGCCCUGGGAGCGCGGAGCCGCCGUCAGCGCGCCCGGGCUGUCCUACACCGCGAUUCUCCUUUUCCCCCCUUUUUUUAAACUUUUUUUUUUUUCCCUUAUCCCGCUUCCCUCUCGGGACUGGAAGCAGGAUCCGCGUCCCUGGAUUGCUAUGCCAGCUGAACUCUCCCGGGCCGUGGGAAUGCACGCCAUCUCCGACCUGCACUCCUCCCUCCCCCUGCGGCUCCUCAACAAGGGGCCCGAGUACCUCCGCAGGCAGCUGGAGGCCGGCAAGCCGGGCAGGAAAAGUGCCGUGGAGAGACUGGCCGCCGAUAAGGCCAAGUACGUAAAGAGCCAGCAGGUCAUCGGCACCAGGCAGGAUCCCGUCAUCGCGCUCAGCUCAGCCUCGGAGAGCAGCAGCGAGACCUGUUCCGUGGAGAGCAGAGCAGCGAGCAGGGAGCUGGGCACGGGCGCGAAGCCCCCGGAGCCGGGCACGGCGGCGAGCUCCUGCCGAGCCCCCCUGCAGCACGGGCCCCCCAUCGCCAGGCGCAGCACCAGGAGGCAGAUGCGGCCGGAUUCCCUGGUGAUCUACCGACAGAAAUGUGAGCUCGGCAGAGGUCAAAGCCAGGACAGCUCACGGGGGAAUUUGGUGAGGAGGAUCUUCCAUGGGUCCAUAAAAGAGAAGCAAUUGGCUUCCCCUGCGUUGCCCAGAGUCAUGGAGGACGUCGCAGCCACCGAGAGCAAUGAGCCUCUCUCAGCAAAAGAUGGUGACCACGAGCCCAGCGAACAUGGAGCGGUGCAGACUUUCCCCGUGAGCACUGAAGGGGCAAGGGUGUGUACAACAGAGCAUGAGAGACCCUCAAAACUGAGUACACCUCCUGAAGAGGUCAAGGAGGUGAAGAGGAGAGGUCUCCAUCGCUCCCAGUCAGACAUCAGCUCUCGCUACUCCAAGUCCUUCGCUGAGUUUGAAACAUUUUUCAAGUACUGUGGCCUGGAGCAGGAGGUUAUUGAGGAUCUUGGGAGAGAGAACUUCUCUGUGGUGUCUGACAACGUCUCCUUCAAGAUCCGCAGCAUCAGCGUGGCGACAUCGGAGAGCGAGUUCACAAGGCACAGCGGGGACGAGGGGCUGCUGGAGGACGAGCUCACCGAGCAGGUCCCCAGCAGCACCUCCGUGAUCGAGCGCAACGCUCGGAUAAUCAAAUGGUUGUACACGUGUAAGAAAGCCAAGGAGACCAAUAAGGUGAUCCAGGAACUGGCGUGAUGGCUUCAUUCAGCAUGUGUUGGAGCCUGGCGAACUCAAGGCACCCCCAAGUAUCAGAAAAGCAAAACUGAAUCAGUGCCCUGCUGUCAAUCUUAUUUCCUCCCUGGCUUCUUGUUGGGACCCUAAAAGUUUGUACCAGAACUGUUGGCUUGGAAGUAGAACAAAACCAGACGUAGGAAGAGACUUACCUCAUCUGGCUUAUGUGUACUUUGUCCAAGUUUAGUAUUUUGUUGUUGUUUCCUACCUUCGUCCCCAUCCUCUGGAAGCCUCACUCUUCUCAAGCCCAAGGGUGUCCAAGACUGCAGUGAAAAGUGGAGAUUGUGAACUGUGCCUCAGCAAGACAGCAGGAAACAAAAUCACCUGGAAAAUGGAAGUAUGGCAGCAGCUGCCAUCCACAAUAAUAUUCAACAUCAUCUCACUGCCUCAGGAUGUCAUUCCAGGCUGUGACAGAAGGUCUGUUUUGUGCACCCAUCUCUUUCCAGCAAUGAAUUUGUCAACAGGGCUGGGAGGAGAAGGUGGGAAUGAAGUGGCAGUGACCUCUGGGUCAGAUGUUUCCUUGCAGACAGACUCCACCUGGAUGUCCAAAGGCUCUGCCUUACCAGGGCUGUUUGAUUAGAGCUCAUCCCGACAUCAUUCACCAUCAUUUGCUUGGCUGGUGAGAACUAACUGUGGCAGCCUUAUCUGAGAUACUUGGCAAAUAUGUAAGCUAAAUCCCUGCCAAACCUCUCUUUCUCUGACAGCAUGCAAGCCAAAUUGGUGUACCUUACAUCCAUCUAGUUUUCUCUUGCUAGUUUGUCACACAGCUUGCUCAGCCAUUGGGAAAGAAUAGCGCCAAAUACUUCCAGGAGCAUGGUUCCAGGAAACAGGUAUUGAGGGAGGUUUUGCAUUGUUUCUGCCUUGCAGAACAGUACAAUUUGUGAUGUGUGCCUGAGUCUGACAUGGCAAACAUUGCAAGGUUUGGUGUAAGACCUUUAGUUUUAGGCAGUGAGGGAGCAGGCUGUUACAGAAUGGCAUUAGGGAGCUGUGCCAGGCUGUGUUAAGCCGCACUUCCCCAGUGUGGGUCUGCAGCAGGGCAGUGCAAGGCAUCACUGUGCUGCAGGGUAAGAAGGCAUGUUAGGGCUCAGACAGGCCAGGGAAUGUCCUGUGUAGACAACACCUCACUCAAUAUCAUCAGCAAAAUGCUUCAUUUGGGCUGGCUGAGAUAAACUUGUUUUAAAAGGUGAUACUUGGAUCACUAGUGUAGUGAAUGAGGCCUCUGCAGUAACUCAUGGAAUUUGUUGGCUAUGCCUCAAACACCCCAAUUUAUCAUUGCUUGCUAGAAAAUCAAAGUCUUUCUAUAUGGACAUUGCAAACCACAAAACAAUUGAAAAAAAAAAAGGCCAAAGCCACUUUCCCUUUCAUUUGCAGUGAUACCCAUCUGUAAAAGCUGCCUGACUGGCACAAUGUUGACUUCAGCUGUUGGUCCUGCAGAGGUUAAAAGCCUACCUUGUGUUACCAUGCUUGUGGAAGAGUUGCCCUUGAAGAGCUCAUUGACAUCAGCUAAAUAUCAUCUGGGUUGCACUUCCAUGGGUUUUAAAUGUGCUUGUCAGUCCUUGGAUGGUUAGUGCUCAGUUACAGCACCAGUCUGGAAAUGCAAUGUCUUCUGUUUCUAGUGUUGGUACCAAGGCCUACGUGUCUGAAGUUCUUAAGAUAACUAGAUAACGAUUCCAGAUAAAAUAAUUAUUGAACCCACUUUUCAAAUGGGAGAAAACUAAGUAGUUUGUGUGAGCUCCUUCAAACUUAGAGAAAAGGUAGCAUACGUGGGUAUUUUCUUAUAUAAUGAAAUCUCCAUAUAUAUUUGUUACGUUAUUAUAAAAGGAUGAUUCUCAGAAAACUUCAAGAUGCUGCUAAUAUGAUAAGAUUUAUACACUGAAGGUACAGGUUUGUAAGGAUCACAGUCUCUAGGUUUAUUAGUCAGGAACAUAAUCUGAUGUAUGAUGUAUGAUAAUCUGUUCUGUUCAUGCUCCCAGCAAGAUGCUGUACCACAUAUAUAUUUGUAUAUCAGAGCUAAGGGAUGCUUUUCUUCAAAAACAUGGAUUACUGUAGAUAGCUCAGGGUGCAGGAAAAAUCUUUUGAGUUACAAUCCAGUGCCGUGCCACAGGAGAAGAGAAUUAAUUUGUUUUGUUUCAAAGGAAAAUUCUUGUUUCAUUUUCAAACUUCUAUUUGUCUCCUCCAAGUCAGUUGAGCAGCUUUCAAGAGUUAAGAUGAAAGAUGUAUUACUCAUGAAUUUUCAGUAUUAGGAAGGAAUAUGUUUCAUUUGCUUGAAAAUACUGAACAUUAGCCUUUCUGAAAAUUGAUAAGGGUUUUAUGGCAGAGGUUAGUGAAAUCCCAACUGGACCCGUUCUGAAUACUUUUUUAGUCCCUCUUUUUGUCUUUGUGGAUAGUUCAGUAGGGUUCAGGUGACUUUCCACACUGAUGUGGCAUUUCUUUGGCUUUGUUCAAACUCUGUAGGAAUCCCAAGCACUCCCAUUAAUUUCAGAGGUGAUGUGGAUGUGUCUAAGAUCUUUGCCUGUUAAGCUGUAGAUUCCCUUUAUUUAAUAAUGCCUUGUGGGGAAGCUAAUAAUUUACAUUUCCUAUAUGUCAGAACAAAAAUAGAUUACAAUCUUCUUUCCCCAUACGUUUUGGGAAUGGCUAAUUCAGUGUUUUUUCCAAAUGAUGAGAGCUGUGGUGUUCAUUCUGCUCCUGUUACUGUUACAUGUAAAGGGUUCUCCUUUCUUCUGCUGGAUCUUUCAGUCAUAUCCUUCAAAACAAGAAGAACUUGCUAAUGUUAGCCACUACCUAUCUUUUUCUCAAAAAAAACCCCAACAUUUUUUGGUUUAUUUUGGGGUUUUUUUUACUAUUUGGGAUGGGUGGAAUUUUCCAACGUUGGUGUUAAACUGUGGAAAAGUGGGCUGUUGCAGUUUGAACAGAAGUUUUAGCAAUGGAGCUGGUUUUCCAUUAGUCUAGGGAGCCUAAAAUGGUGGCUGAUGACAAAUGCUAGUCAUAAAUUGAAUUGUUUUGUUUGACUAGAACUAUGUAAACAAAACAGUCAGAUGGGGUGCAAGUGUACAGAGCAAAUUGCUGUUUACACCCCAGUGUUUCAUGGUUCUCCAGUGCUGUGACAAAGGGCAAUGUCCACAGCUGUCGCAUAACAGGAGAAAGAUACAAAGUCUGGGCUUUAUGGUCUGGAAUAUGGAGAUAAGACUGAAAUAUUUGAAAUAUAUUGUAAAUAUUACUGUACAGAAAUCUAUAAGAAAUACAGAAUUUUCUAUAUAUAUAUUACUUUUCUAAUGGAUAUAGGUCUACACGUUUUAUGAAAUCGGCCAAGCAUUACAUUGGUGGGGAUUAAGCAGAAACUUUCUUCUGGAGCAGGUUGUCCUGCCAUUGCCUCCUGUGAAGUUUCUUGCAUCUGCUUUUGAAUCCUUUGAAAUGGAAUACUAGUCGGAUCUGAUACGGAUAUUUCACCAUUGUUAUGCUUAUAUUCCUGUGAAAAAACUUGAUGCUGUUGAAUGCAUACAAAUAAAACUACCACUCUGAGAGGUAAUGUUUGGUUUUUUAAAAGUAUACUUUUAUUUUGCUGUCUCCAUUAAAGUGCUAUUUUUUUAAAGCUGGAAUCCCAUUAGGGAAUUGAUUUCUCUGUGAGUGAGGCUGAUACUCGACUGUGAACAUCUCAAAGUGCAGUCCCUGAGCCAUGCCCGGACCCCUGGCUGAGAGCUCAGGCACGGAAUCUCUCAAGGAGCUGGCACAAUAACUAGUAGCUCUCAAUAUCAGUAAAUUUUGAUUACAUGAGGGUAAGGCUGUUCUACAACAUUCCAAUAUUUUUUAUUUCAGAAUAUGGCUGAAAAGAUAGAGUUUAUUUCUAAAGGGUACUAUUUUUUCCAAAUUUAGUAUUCUGUUUGGUCUUGCUCACUGUCAAAAGCUACGAUGUGCUGCAGGCAACACCACACUCAUCUCAGCCAGUGUCCAAAGUGAGAGAGAGUUUCAAGUUUUGCUUGGAAAGUAUAUUAUCUCCAGAAUCGUAUAAAAAACUGUUGUUUGACUGUUCUUUCCUUAGAAAUAAUUCAGAAUAUUAUGCUAAAGCUCUAUUUAUUUUGUGCAGAAAGGAGCAAAAAUAAUGGUUGCAUACAGUGAGCUUUUACAGGAAACCAAAGCACUCCAGUUUCAUAGUUACAAGUUUGGUAUGGUCUAAUCUGCUCAGACUCAAGUUUCACCAGCCAGCAUUUGAAGACAGUUUGAGGUAGAGGUAAAGGAUGCCUGCUGUGCAAAUUGGGAUCUUCCACAAAAACCCAAGAGCAACUUUAUUGUCACUGACAUGUACCUUCCUCUCACAAAUCCUGCGUGACCGAUGUCAGUGCAAGGUAUGAAGCAAGUCUGGAAAGGGUGAAAUACAUGCAUCCCCCUUUCUAUGGAGGUUAAUCUCCCACAGCAAGCCUUUGCUCAUCUCACUGCCUUACAGAGGACAGAGCAAUUGUAGUCUGAGAAUGACCUUGGGCUACAGCCCAGCUUGCCAUUUAGAAACAUUGCUCUUAAGUAAUUUUUCAGGUAACACCUUAAUCACAUAUUUUAUGAAGUCCAGUGGAUUUCUUCCAGAAGUAAGGUUUGGCCAGCUCCUGCUCUCAGACUGUCUGGUGCAAGCAACCUGUAAAAGUCACAGCUUACCCAUCCACUGCUUUGCUUCUGAUUUGUCUCUGAGUAGUAAAUUGGUGUUGGAAAGAACCCAGAAAAAAUAUCUUUUCAGAUGUAUUGUAGAUGUAGAGGCAUUCUGAACACACCACUGCAAAAGCACUUAGUAUCUCCAAGAGCUUUUGGUGAAGAAAAGGUAUGCUAUGUAACAGCAGGCAAAUAAACAAAUGCAGGACUUGGCUUUACUCUGCAAAGAGAUGCCUUCAAAUUUUGAGGACAUUUUUUGAUUGGGCCAUAUUUAUCCUGGUUUUAUCCUGUGAUACUGAAUGAGGACUAUGUCAAUUCACUUAAGUACAAUGUUGUAGAGAGAGGUGGUAGAUGCCCCAUCCUUGGAAAUAAAGUGAACUUAGAAAGGACUGCUGAGCUCAUUUGCAGGCAAUGAUGUAACAGCAGUCUGUCAAGACCUCCAUGACAAAAGGUGUUGAGAAUUUUGUUCAAUUAUACUUGCCAAUAAAAUUUGUGAUAUAGCAGAAAAACAAUAUCAUAAGAAAAAACCCCUUCCAGAUCGAAGUCAGCUACAUAUAUCUGUCUCCAGGAAUCAAUGUAGUUACUGAAAGAAUACAAAAUCCUGUAAAAUUAGCUUGCACACUUGUACUAGACUUGAGUUGCCUCAGCAGUUAUGAUUAAAAAUAUCUAAGAGCUGUGAUUGUCUGGGUUUCAAAGUUUGCCUCAAUCAUCAAGAGCUCAACAGGAGUACUAAUUUUUGGUUUUUUCAGAGGCAGUAACAGGAACCAGCGGGUAGCAAUCAUCAACACAAAGCCACUUGAUUAUUAGUCAGUUAUUGAUCAGCAUUAGAGCACUGAAGCAACAAGCACCAAGACAUGGAGCCACACACAGAGGCAGGCACAGCUGAGCACAUGAAGGGGAGUGUUUCUCCUGUUCCUUCCUUUUAGCCCAAGCUCUUCUUGCAUCACUGUUUUUCUCUUUGGUGACCAGGAAGUCUUAACCACUUCCGCAGUUAUUCAUCGCUCUGAGUUGCUCAUCUCACGCCCUCUCUGCCAAUCCCUUUCCAUGUUUACAUUUCCAAUGAACUCAUUCAUGUGCCAGUCAUUACGCACGGCACUGCUCUAUUUGUCCUCAUUCCUGUAAUCUUUUUUUUCUGAAUAGUGCUUUCAGUUAGGUUUUACACCCUUCUGCUCAAUCUUUCUGUUUCUGCCCUAAGGAAACUAAGAACUAGUCAUGCAAAAAGUCAAAAAAUGAAUGUGCUUUGUUGUUAAGGAGAAGCUUACAAGAUCUGAGACCAACGUCCUAGUCUUUUUUCAUCUAUGUAGUUCUUCCUGCAUAGCUUAGCAAUAAUUUUUCAUUGUUUUCUUCUUUGAUACCUUUUUGUAACAUCAUCUUUGGCUUGGUUUGUCUCUUGUAGAGGAUAUUUUUCAGAGCAAUGGUGACACUUUGUCUUCAAAGAGCUCUGAGCACAGCUAUUGCAAAAUCAAAUUCCAAAUCACAAGACUUUUCAUGGUGUACUAUAGUUUAAACCUUCUAGGAAGUUUGGUGGGGCCAAGUAAGAACAUUAGGACAGUGAAAGUCAAUUGGGUAAGCUUUGCAGUAGCAGGACUGAAAAAGAAAGCCUGAAGCAGCUCUGUGUGGAACCCAGGACAGCAAGCUAUCCCUUGAAAUUGUUGGAAAGAUACAGUUUGCCACUCAUUUCUUGGGAAUGUGUCUUCACUCAACAUUUAUUUCCUGCAGGAAAGUAAAUUUAGCAAGAACUUUAUCACAUGCAAGAGUCAACCAGCAUCAAACAGAGUCUUUUGGGCUCACCUGCAAACACAAGCUGAGGUGAUUCUCCAGGCAUCUAUUGGGUUUAAGAAGAGCAUCUGCACAGCUGCCUCCAUCUGCUCUGACAACAAUGAGAAUAGGAUUCCAUCAUAAAAAAGGAUUAAAUUCCUUGAUGUCAAUUACUGUAAAGAAGCUGAAAAUUGUGUAACUUCUGAGAAUAGACCUUCAAUGUAACAUUUAAAGACAGACUAAUUGUCUGGAAGCUCCAAUUUUCUGAAAUUUUCAGAUAUUUAGAUUCUAUAAUUUUAUUACCCUACAGUUAGUAGAAAGACCAUCUUAUUCCUGCAGAGUUUGAGACAUUCAUAGAUAAUCUUACAUUGCUCUAAAACAAUUGCAGAAACAAAGUGGUAGGAUGGUAAGAGGACUUCUCUGCCCACUGAUCAUAGAACAUAGAAUAUCUGAGUUGGAAGGGACCCACGAGGAUCAUCAAAUCCAACUCCUGGCCCUGCCCAGGACAAUCCCAAGAAUCACACCAUGUGCCUGAGAGUUUUAUCAUGCACUAUCCGAGAGGAUGAUUUUCUUCCAUAGGCACUUUGUCUAACAUCCCCAUUUACCUAUGCUUGAACUCAAACUGACAAAUAAAUUCCCCUGGUCUUCAAAUAUUUACAACAUAAAGCAGCAUGGUUUGUAUUAUGUUAGCAUCUUGCUUUACCUGAGGACUGAGACCAAUAUUAACAACAGUCCUCAUGUGUAAAAUGUUUGUACAAAAGCAGGAGUACAUAAAAAAUCUCAAGUCUGCUCAUUACAUCACACUACAUAGGGAUAAUCUGUAAGAUUUUUUACGGUAAAAAUGAAUAAAAUGCAAUAAAAAAUCAUGCCCUGCAAAAUGCACGUAAACAAGGAAAACUGAUUGGGAGGAAUGUUUAACUCCCAAAGUUGCACAAUCUGAUGUAUUUUUGUCUUUCUUCAGAGUAACCAAAAGAAGUAUUUACAUGCUAUCUAAUGGUUCGGCAGAGCUGGCAACAUCUAGUAAAGUUGCAGUAAAUUGUGCAAGAGGUAUUUCAUCACAAAACAGAACACAGAUUCUACCUGCAGUUGGGAGGGACAGGAAACUGUUGUUUUAAUCAGAAGCAUGAAUUUAAAUCUAUUUGCAUUACUUUAACUGUAAAAUAAAAUUGAUUCAGAAGUG